ACGGCCACCUAUUUCAUCUCCACCGCCGUGCACCGGCUGCAGGACCACCACAGCCACCACGGCAGUGUCACCACGGCAGUGUCACCACGGCAGGGGACUCUGUCUAACCCUCCUGAAAACGACAGCUGCUGCACAGCCCUUUUUGGGAGAGCAGCUCUGACAAGGACAAGAAGAAUUGCACACACUCAUACAGGGCAAAAGAUGCUGGUCCGUGUGGAAGUAUCCCAUGAACUGAAUGUGGUGGUGGAGUCCCCAUCUGGAUCACACCAACCCACGUUCAAAUUAGCACACCAAUUUAGAUGCAAAUGAGCACUCUAAGCUGCAGUUACACCUCUGGUAUUAACAGAGACGCUUCUGUGUGGGUGAACAUUUUAUUUCCCGUGAGGAACCUUUCCUGCAGUUACUGUCAGGUUUUUGUUAUACAUCAGGCUUGUUAUGCCAUCAGUGCAGACAGCACAUUGAACUGUGCUGGUAUGCAAGCUAUCAUCUCAGACCCAAGUGGGCUAACAUUUAAAUAGCGUGUGACACUGCUGCCAUCAAAUUUCUCCCAAGGCAUGCUUGCCUGAUCUCCCUGGGAUUGCACAGAGGCAGGGAGCAAAGCAGCCUUGGGGACGUGGGCUGCAGGACUGAUGUCAGGGGUCCCUUCCCUGUCCUACCGGACGGCACCGGAGCUACAAACCACAGCCAAAGCUGGGCAGGUGGCUCAGUGGCAGAUCCAGCUGCAGCACUGUGCAGAGCUUGGCAGAAAGGUCAGCACUGGCCCUUCUGGAUAUGGCCAGGUAUUUUUCAGACACCUGUUGCUGAGGAGGAAACUUCCUGCAGGAAAAUUUGCCAACUCCCAUAUGCAAAGCAAUUGAAGGAUGGAUUGAAAAAAGUCCUUGGUAGUGAAAGUCAGGGCACUGACUUGAUAUGAGUGGGGAAGUUGGGUCUCUUACAGGACAUCUGGCAUGAAUGAGACAAGAAAAGCUUAGUUCUGGUGUUGCUAUAAACCAUGAGAGAAGAAAUGGGAGAUCUUAGCUGCCUUACCUUCAGCCGGAAGCAGACCAGUCCCAAAACAACCUCAGCACAGAUCUCAAACCUCUCAUCCUGAAGGACUAAGUGUUCAAACUGAUGCGACAGUCUAAUGUGCUGAGAAGAGAAAGAGUAUCUACAUUGAAUACAUUUGAUUCACCAAGAAAAAAGGUGUGCUGAAGUAUUUUCCAUUCCAUUGCUCUGUUCCUUCUGCUGCUGUGUGAUAAUAUUCACAUAUUGCCAUCUGUUUGUGUUAACUUCCAUCCCGUUUAUGACUUCCAGAGACCAUAUGGAGCCAUUGCUGUAUUAGGAUCUCAGUCUGUCUUAGGCAGUGCUGGUCUGCUUAUUGAGACACUUCAGCACAAUUUGAUAUAAUACCACAUUAAGAGUAAAUAAUUUUAAUAAUUCUCAUUUAGGUUUUGUACCACUGUUAGUUUUGGCUAGGAAUGGCUAAAGAAUACAGAAGUCAUUAGAGGGAAAGGGGAAGUGCACAGAUAUACAGGGAAAAAAUUGUCACAAUUUCAGUGAAAAUUGAGCUGGGAAGAUACACUUUUUAGAAUAGUUCACUUAAUAUGAGAAAUCUGUGGUGCUCAGGUUCAGUUGAAAAAAAAGCUGAUGGCAGUAUAAUCAAGAAAAUGGAGAGCAAAUCUCAGCAAACCUGUUGAGAAGUUACUGAGGCAAAAAAGGAUGACACUGGGCACCAAGCUAGAGCAAUUAUUUUGAAGCAGAUGAAACAAAUAUUUAAAAAAAUAGGAAAAAUACCUACAGACAUACUAAAAAUCAGCUGGGAAGUCUUAACAUUAGUCAGUGAUACUUGCAUACUCAUGCCAUGCUUUUCUUUGCUUUCUUUCAAAGAGAAAAAUAAUUUAAAAGCACUUUCAAAAAACCAACACAUAUCCUCAUCAGAUACCUGCAGUACCCUAUCCAGUCCCCCUUCUACUGGCUAUAUCAUUAACUUAGUGUUCACUAUUCUAGAAAAAGCCAAAAAAUACAACCAAACAACCAACCAAAAAAAGCUAAGACAACAACAGCAACCAGCCAUUUGAAUUAUAGUUUGUCUUCAUGCAAUAGCCAGUCUAUACCAAAAAUUAUCUGAAACACCUAGAAAGUAAUGUUUAAAGAUUUUUCAGCUUUUAUAUAUUUAGGAUUGCAAAUAAUUUUACAAAAAUAAACAACUAAGUCUGUGCUUUUGAACUUUGACUUUUUGUAAAUUCAAAGAUGGCUAUUAAACAAAAAUGAAACAUAUUACUUUGGGCCAAGGUUAAAUGUGGAAUGUAUCAUCCCACAGGAACUUCAUCCAAAAGGACAAGGCAAAACAGAAGCUACAGAAAAGGGAAAAAGACAGAAGAAAAAAAGCCAACACAUUUUGCAAUCUUAAUCAUAGCUUUCUGAUUUUUUUUUUUAAUUUCUCUAAAAUAGAAAAACAUAGUUUAGAUUGAAUCAAAAUAUUUCUUCAAAACCUUCAUAUUUGGCUUACUGGUACCCUAUGUAACCAGCCAGUUUUCCUGUUGUUACCACUUCUGCUCUGCUGUUUGUUACAUCCAUUUAUCAUCUCCCUCUAAAAUUAGCCUGAAAGCUCCUUGAGUCAGGAAUGAGACCAAUAAAACUUCAAUCCCUUCCAAGGCAUUUGAAUGAUCUGCUAAUACACAGAGCAUGAAUUUAUUGCUGUGAAAUCCAACCAGAAGUAUCUGCAUACAUACAGAUACUUGUAUGCAUAAUAACUGCAUGAAAAACAUAUGUAAAAUAGGCCCAGGUGUUGUAAUGGGCUUUUACUGUCUCCUCCUAUCCUCAUGUUCUAGAGCUUUAACCAAACAUGUCUUUUCCAUGGCUCCACAAAAAAGCACAAAUCAUAUUCCAUGAGGUAAGAAUUUCACAACUGUUCAGCUGAAUGUAAUCACCAGCUGAAUUUCAUCAAAAUUUAUCUGGGUAAAAAUUGAAUAAAGCAAACAUUUAAGA